rnacentral:misc_RNA from 1 species
UAAUAAGUGUUUUAUGGCACUUUUUAAAUCCAUAUCCACCUUGUGUGCAAUGUCAGUCGAUCUUCUUCAUGGAGAUCGACCAAACAUCAACCUUUAUCUUUUAACUCCUUGUCUGAAAAAUAUUAUGAAUAAACUAAUUCAAAAUA